rnacentral:rRNA from 1 species
UACGUAGGGGGCAAGCGUUGUCCGGAUUUAUUGGGCGUAAAGAGCGUGUAGGCGGCCUUACAGGUCAGCUGUGAAAACUCGAGGCUCAACCUCGAGACGUCGGUUGAAACCGUAAGGCUAGAGUCCGGAAGAGGAGAGUGGAAUUCCAGGUGUAGCGGUGAAAUGCGCAGAUAUCGGGAAGAACACCCGUGGCGAAGGCGGCUCUCUGGGACGGUACUGACGCUGAGACGCGAAAGCGUGGGGAGCGAACAGG